GCUGGAUGUGGUGGCACACAUCUGUAAUCCCAGCAGCUGAGGAGGCUGAGGCAGGAGGAUCACAAGUUCAAAGCCAGCCUUGA
rnacentral:sRNA from 1 species